GGAGGGUGGGCAGGACGGUAAUGCGCGGGUUUCGAAAACCCGUGGGAGCAAUCCCUAACAGGUUCGACUCCUGUAUCCUCCGCCA
rnacentral:tRNA from 7 species